rnacentral:rRNA from 1 species
UCUUUUCCUUUUUUUCCAGCAGCCGCGGUAAUACGGAAGGUCCGGGCGUUAUCCGGAUUUACUGGGUGUAAAGGGAGCGUAGACGGUGUGGCAAGUCUGAUGUGAAAGGCAUGGGCUCAACCUGUGGACUGCAUUGGAAACUGUCAUACUUGAGUGCCGGAGGGGUAAGCGGAAUUCCUAGUGUAGCGGUGAAAUGCGUAGAUAUUAGGAGGAACACCAGUGGCGAAGGCGGCUUACUGGACGGUAACUGACGUUGAGGCUCGAAAGCGUGGGGAGCAAACAGG